UACGUAGGGCGCGAGCGUUGUCCGGAAUCAUUGGGCGUAAAGAGCUCGUAGGCGGUUUGUCGCGUCGGCUGUGAAAACCUAGGGCUCAACCUGGGCUUGCAGCCGAUACGGGCAAACUAGAAUUCGGUAGGGGAGACUGGAAUUCCUGGUGUAGCGGUGAAAUGCGCAGAUAUCAGGAGGAACACCGGUGGCGAAGGCGGGUCUCUGGGCCGAUAUUGACGCUGAGGAGCGAAAGCGUGGGGAGCGAACAGG
rnacentral:rRNA from 1 species